GACUUGUGAAUCUCAUACUGAAUACUGACUUGUGAAUCUCUCAAAAGUGUGAGCUCCAAUGAGUACUUAAAUAUAUUAGUGAGCUAGAGAAUUUGCUAAGUACCAUGUUAAAUUAGGCAACUGACUUAUCACUUUGUAAGGAUUCUAACACAAGACAAAUUAAAGUCCUUGGUCUUUAGGGGGAGAAGUGAAGAAGGCAGGCACAAGCAGAAUCCUGGAUCCUGGAGUCCCGAGUCACCAACCUCUCUCCUCCUCAUCCUGCUGCCAAGUGACCCUGGCCUCUUUGUUUCUGCCCUCCAAUCCUUGCCUAUGAUUAUCUUAACACCAAACAUUCAGCAAGCACCAAUGCUUAUUUUACAGGCAAGAAACCAAGGCAAACAUUUAAAUGUCUUGCUCAGGAUCACAUAACUAUAACUAUCCCUCCUCCUUAUCCCAGAAAGCCAUCCCACGUAAUAAAGAACUGCCCGCCAUGCCCCCUCUCCCCCGCUGCCAAAAAAAAAAAAGAGGGAUGAGGGAAUCUACACAACACUUCUUAUCUACUGAAGGGAAAGGAAUUUGGGGGCUUGAAAGGAAAAGAGUUGGCAGGUAAAGGAGGAGUAAUAUCUUCUCCUGUCUUCAUUUCAAUCAUUCUUUAUAACUUGGAUACAUUCACUCAUGAUUUCUUUGAUUUGUCCUUCUAUUGUCAUUAAUAUUGACUGUUGUAGUUACUGUGAAUACUGUUUUUGGCUCUGCUUACUUUAUUUUUCCUGAGGUCAUGUAGCUUUACAUGCUUAUUUGUGUUUCUUAUAUACAUCAAUUCUUACAACAAAAUAAUGGUAUUCCAUUAUAUUAAUGUGCUACAAUUUGGUUAUUCACAAAAUAGAUGGGAAAUAUAUAUAACAUUCCACUGCUUUGCUAUUACAGAAAGUGCUUCUAUAAAUAUUCUAGAAUAUAUAAGGACUUUCUUCUUAUUGACAGCUUUCUUGGGUUGUAAAAGCCCAGGAAUGUAAUCUUAAGUUCAAAGGUUAUGGACAAUUUAGUCACUUCAUUUACAUAACCCCAAAUUGCUUUCCAAAAUAACAGUGCCAUUUCAUAGAGCUUCACCAACAAAUGAAUUAAUGUGCCUAUCAUUGCCCUCCAACAAUAAGUAUUGCCAAAUAUUAUCAUCUCUGUCACUUGUAAGGUAUGAGGCUUAAAGGGCUUUGAUUUUUGAUUUCUCCAGUCAUCAGUAAAUUUGGAUAUUCUAUUUUUAUUUAUUCAUUUUUAAAUAAUAGCUUUUAAUUUUUCAAAAUAUAUACAAGCAAAGAUUUUUAACAUCACCCUUGCAAAACCUAGUACUCCUUAUUUUUCCCCUUUUUUCUCCCUCCUUUCCACUCCAACCCCUAGACAACAAGUAAUCCAAUAUAGAUUAAACAUGUGCAAUUAUUCUAAACAUAUUUCCACAUUUACAUGCUGCACUAAAAAAAUCAGAUCAAAAAGAAAAAAAAACCACAAGCAAGCAAAUAACAGAAGUGAAAAUACUAUGUUGUGAAACAUAUUCCGUCUCCAUGGUUCUCUUUCUGGAGGUAGAUAGCUCUCUCCACCCUAUAUUUACUGGAAUUGGCCUGAAUCACACCUCACUGUUGAAAAGAACCAAGGAUUUGGACAUGCUUUAAUGUUGCUGUGAAUACUUUGCAACUCUUCUUUAGAGAAUUAUCAGUUCUUUGAGAACAUUUAUGUAUUAAGGAAUAGCCUUACACAUUUUUUAAAUGUUUACAUAUUUUGAUUAUCAAAUACUGAUAAGAAAGAUA